CACGGGGGGAGCAAGCGUUGUUCGGAAUCACUGGGCGUAAAGGGCGUGUAGGCGGUCAGAUAAGUGAGAUGUGAAAUGCCUCGGCUCACCCGAGGACCUGCAUCUCAUACUGUCUGGCUUGAGUACGGGAGAGGAUGAGGGAAUUCCUGGUGUAGCGGUGAAAUGCGUAGAUAUCAGGAGGAACACCGGUGGCGAAGGCGCUCAUCUGGCCCGAUACUGACGCUGAGGCGCGAAAGCUAGGGGAGCAAACGGG
rnacentral:rRNA from 1 species